UCAGCUAUUUAAACAGUACCAGCUUGCUCAAAGAGCAUAGCCAAGGCUAACCGAGAUCAUAUUCUUCGUGGAGAGAUGCUUUUUCAUCGUCGUUCAAAUCAACCACCUCUAGGGCUCCAUUGUCGUUCUCUAAAGCCUCCAGCCUAGCUAUAGCAGCCUAGAAUCAACCAAACACAAAUGAAGUCUCAUUGCCAAGGAAAAAAAAAAUCAAAAAGUGAUUUCGAAAAUCAGACAACACACCUGGGUUCGAUUGUCGGUGCUUGUAAGAGCUGCCGCCAUCUUCGUAGCAACCUUACGGGUACGGCUCGAGACUCUACGGUUCGCCAUGUCUCCAUACCGCUUAGGACAAUUCAGUGUACCGGCGACGGUGGACCGAUGCGCUCACGUCUCCACUUUCGUCCCCGUCUUGCUGAGCCCAAUCCAAAGUCCGGGCGACGGAGGAGACUUGGAUUCGAAACCUACGGAUUUCACAAGUCGGGAGAGAGAUAGAGAUGAGAGUGGGAUGAAGUUCUGAAGAAGGUGAAGAGGGAGGAAGAGGAAUCACAAGAGACGUCUCUUCUUGUCCCUGAUUAAGAGACGUCUUCAGGAUUAUUGAUAUUUUUCAUGUUUUUUUAAUCUUAAUAAGUGUAAGAGACCCUCUUAAAAGACCGGGAUAAUGGUGCUCAAAGUUUUGUCGUAUGGAGUCCCAUUAUCAAUUAUUGGUGAAUAUAAGACCAUCCGCAACGGCGGUUUUAGCACAAUCUUUAGGAGUUAAUCCUUAAGUUUAAUUAAUAUAAUAUUAGUAAAAAGGGCAAAUAAAUUAAGGAAUGGUCCGUAAUUAAGGAUCAAAUUGGGGUGAUCCUUAGUGACGCGGCACACGCAUUUGGUGCGUUGAGUGAAGGGUCUCGCGUCUUCUUUUCAUUUAUUCUCAACACGAAAAAAAAACCAGAGGAGGCGACAAAGGCGAUUUUGCUCUCGAAGGUGAAGAACACUAAUCGAAGGGUUCUCGACGAUAAAGAGGUUAAUCGAAGGGUUGUCGGUGCAAUCGAAGGUAAAGAAAAAUGGGUCGUUAUAGCUGCAGCCAGCCUUCAUCUUCAGAGGAGUACGAUAUAGAUAUAACUUCGCUUCUUCAAGCGGAAGCUGGUCUAUACUCCGACGAUGCUGACAGUAGGCACAACAUAGCGGAGGCGGUUGAGUACCUUCCUCAACCUGAGAGUGAUGAUGGAAUCCCCAAGACCUGCUACUGUGGUAGUGAGGCAGUUGUUAAAACUUCUUACACAAGCAAAGAUCCAGGGAGAAGGUACUUCAGUUGUUCGAACACGGAUGAUGGAGACUGCCAUGUGUGGAAAUGGUGGGAUGUGGCGGUCAUGGAGGAGUUGCGUGACUAGCAGAGACAACUUAGGGAGCUUAAGGAUCAAGCUUAUGAGAGUGACGAGAAGCUGGUUAAGGUUGAGAAGAUUGUGGGGGAGUUAGCUAAGAAGAAAACCGGGAUUGCAAAUGGCUAUCCAUUGCUUGUUUGUGUGUUGGUUAGUGUAGUAUUCCUAAUAUGUAUGGUGGUCAUGUUCAAGUGGGUUGCAGAGAAGGACAACGUCGUAACAGAGAGCCUGGUUAGUGUCGUUCCUUCUUCAUCUUAUUUUUGUUCAUAUUUUCUUGAAAAAAUUUAGACUCUUUUGUCUCAUGUCUGUUCAGGAAGAGCUUCAGGAAGAGGUUCAGAGGAUGAAAAUGCGACUGUCUGACCUUUAGAAGGUAAUGUACAAACAACUUCCAACCCUCAUUUCUUUGAGUAAUCAAAAUGCUUGAGUAUAUGUCAUUGCAUACUAGUAAUUAAAAGUCAUGUUGUAGCUAUAAAUGCAUACUAAACCACCAUUUAAUUGACCGUAACUGCAUUUUGCAAAGAACCAUUUCAUUAAAUUAUAGCUAGCUGUUUUGAUAAGACUGUUUUCUACUAGGAGUAAUUGUAGAAUCCCCUAUUUAAUCCUACUGGUUAGUCGCUGUAGAAUCACAAUUACUUAUUCCCAAAUGGCAACUUCCUCUAGUUUUGUUAACCUUUUAGCGAGCCAAGACUCAGUUGACCUUGAGUCUUUAGAAACUCCCUUCUUUAGUACUCAAUCUCCGCAAGAGUCAACUGUGAAAGAGAGAAGAAAGUGGUCUGUCAAAGAGGAUUUAGUCCUCGUUGGUGCUUGGCUCAACACCAGCAAGGAUGCAAUUGUGAGUAACGAACAAAAAGGUCUUGCCUUCUGGAAGAGGAUUGUAUAUUACUACAACAACAGUCCUCUCCUGGUUGGGACAGUGCCAAGAGAACUAGGCCAAU